GGCAUAGUGUUCUGGUAAUUAUUAUAAAUAAAAAAAAAAAUAACUUCAAAAUAUUAAAUAGGCAGAAAAAAAAUUAUUACAUUUGUUAAAUAUAUAUUCCUGUUACACUAUGUUUAUCGACUACUGGAAGAAAAUCCGCAGAUAUUCACAAAACUUAAUAUGCAUAAUAUGCGAGUAAAUUGUGUACUUUAAUUGUGUUUAAAAAACUUACCGUGAAAUAAAAAAUAAGUUAUAAUAGCAAAUUUUAUAUCCGUGUGCAUAGUGCUCGUCUUAUACAAACGCACGAUAUAGCAGACGUUUAACACGGAUAAUUUUAUGCAGUCAGUUUUAAUAUAAAAAUAAAUAGUGAUUAUUUUUAUCAAACUUAUCAAAAGGUUUUCAGUUUCUGUUUUCAUACACGUAGGUUUUUUCUCGAUAUUUUAAUUUUUCUCAGCGAAUUAUAGCUAUGAAUUUUUAAAUUGCUAUAUUCAAUAUACCUACACGUAAUACCCCACUUGGUGAUUAAACGAUCGAGAAAAAUAAAUCGAUGUUUAAAAAUACACGAAUAAUAUUCGUAACUUCAAGUUUGCUGGUGUAUUCUAUAUGCCUCGUACGUUUAAAAGACGGAGACGGAGCGAGACACCACAGUUAUAUGUGGGAAAGCACAACAUCGCGUUCUCUUAAAUGUUUAAUUUUGAUAAAAAAAAUUAGUAAAAAAUGCUUACGA